rnacentral:rRNA from 1 species
CCUACGGGAGGCAGCAGUGGGGAAUAUUGCACAAUGGGGGAAACCCUGAUGCAGCAACGCCGCGUGAGUGAAGAAGUAUUUCGGUAUGUAAAGCUCUAUCAGCAGGGAAGAAGAUGACGGUACCUGAUUAAGAAGCCCCGGCUAACUACGUGCCAGCAGCCGCGGUAAUACGUAGGGGGCAAGCGUUAUCCGGAUUUACUGGGUGUAAAGGGAGCGUAGACGGCGACGCAAGUCUGAAGUGAAAUGCCAGUGCUCAACACUGGAACUGCUUUGGAAACUGUGUAGCUAGAGUGCAGGAGAGGUAAGUGGAAUUCCUAGUGUAGCGGUGAAAUGCGUAGAUAUUAGGAGGAACACCAGUGGCGAAGGCGGCUUACUGGACUGUAACUGACGUUGAGGCUCGAAGGCGUGGGGAGCAAACAGGAUUAGAUACCCGAGUAGUC